rnacentral:rRNA from 1 species
UUGACGCUGGCGGCAGGCCUAACACAUGCAAGUCGAGCGGAUGAAGGGAGCUUGCUCCUGGAUUCAGCGGCGGACGGGUGAGUAAUGCCUAGGAAUCUGCCUGGUAGUGGGGGAUAACGUCCGGAAACGGGCGCUAAUACCGCAUACGUCCUGAGGGAGAAAGUGGGGGAUCUUCGGACCUCACGCUAUCAGAUGAGCCUAGGUCGGAUUAGCUAGUUGGUGGGGUAAAGGCCUACCAAGGCGACGAUCCGUAACUGGUCUGAGAGGAUGAUCAGUCACACUGGAACUGAGACACGGUCCAGACUCCUACGGGAGGCAGCAGUGGGGAAUAUUGGACAAUGGGCGAAAGCCUGAUCCAGCCAUGCCGCGUGUGUGAAGAAGGUCUUCGGAUUGUAAAGCACUUUAAGUUGGGAGGAAGGGCAGUAAGUUAAUACCUUGCUGUUUUGACGUUACCAACAGAAUAAGCACCGGCUAACUUCGUG